CUUACAUGGUGCCAGCGAACGUAGAAUGGGUCCCACUGGUCUUACAUUCCGUACUGUACAUAUCACAUCGUCAUAUCAUAGAUCGAGGGCUUUGGAUCAUCCAACGUUCAUCCACAUCAAUCAACAAUAAAGUAUGCAAUGCAACAUAUUCGUGAAUUCUAAUGCAAACAACCUAGUACAUCUCAUGGCAUUCAUGAUGCGUGAAACAUGCUAAAAAGUCCAUUAUUUGC
rnacentral:lncRNA from 1 species